AUCCGAAAUACAUAGUAGCAUUUGUAAAUAGUCCCUUUCAGUAGUAAAAUAGAACUUUUGGGAACUUUGAACACAGAAAGUGUAUAUUGAAAACCAUCCAAGACUGCUUUUUCCUGUUAUUUGUAAUUUAGUAUUUAUUUAACAAACAACUAAAAAUUUACCAUGUUUGGAUCACUAAAAGGUUUAUAUUCAUUUCAAAUGUGAACAUUUUUACAUCUGACAGAUCAGCUAGAAACACAGAGAUGACUUUGACACCUUGUCUUUUUAAGUGACCUUUGAGCUGAGCUCCCCAAAAAAAUCAAUUUAGCCAUUAAAUGUCAGAGUGUUUUAUGUUUGUUUGUGUUCAUUUUUAGCUCAACAAUUUUUAGGCUCAGUCAGUCUGUUAGCCUUCAGGUUUUAUUGAGUAGAUCUCUUACUGUUUCUGUUUCACAUGAGCCAAACACACACGGUAACUUUCAGCUCUUUGCUUUCACUAAAGGUGCAGCUUUUGAUGCAUUAUUCAUGAAUUGCCAAGUAAUUUUCAAGAGACCCUGUCAUGAUCCCUGAGAGAAUAUCUUUGAGCUUUUCAGACUUCGAUGAGUACAGGAUGAUCCUCUAAUGAUGUGUCCCUCCAACAGCAUCUUUCUCCAGUCUGAAGACGGAGCUGGAGCGAAUAAAGGCGGAGAAGGAGCAGUUGCAGAGCAGUCUAACAGAGAAGACUGAGACACUGGAGAACCUCCAGGCCCUGAGGAACACCCUGGAGCAUCAGCUCAGAGAGCUCACCACUGCAAAGACUGCACUAGAGAGUCAAGUGUUUGAUGAGAAAGACAAAGCUCAGCGGCUGCAAACGGAGCUGGACGUCAGUGAGCAGGUUCAGAAGGACUUUGUCAAACUUUCUCAGACCCUUCAGGUAAGGAGUCGUCUAUUUUUGGGACAGAAUCAAGUAGUUUUUUUUUUUUGUUUAAA